AAAGAAAACUAAACAUAGAAUUACCACAUGUAAUUCCACUUCUGGGUUAUACCCAAAGUAAUUAAAAGCAGGGAUACAAAUAUAUAUUUGUAUACCCAUGGUCAUCACAGCAUUACAGCAGCCAAAAAGUGGAAGGAACUCAAGUAUCCAUUGAUGGAUGAAUGGAUAAACAAAAUGUGUGUGUGUGUGUGUGUGUGGUGUGUGUGUGUAUAAACAUAUACAAUGGAAUAUUAUUCAGCCUUAAUGAGUAAGAAAAUUGUGACACGUUACAACAUGGAUGAACCUUGAGGACAUUACGCUAAGUGAAAUAAGCCAGACACAAAAGGACAAAUACUAUAUGAUUCCACCCAUAUCAGGUACCUACAGUAGUCAAAUUCAUAGAGACAGAAAGUAGAAGGAUGGUUGCCAGGGGCCAGUGGGAGGGGAGAAUAGGGAGUUAUUGUUUAAUGGAUACAGAGGGUCUGUUUAGAAUAAUGAAAGUUCCAGAAAUAGUGAUAGUCACUCAACAUUGUGAAUAUACUUAAUGACACUACAUUGUACACUUAAAAAUGGCUAAAAUAGUAAAUUAAAAUGAUAUAUUAUACCACAAUAAAAAUAUUAAUUGGAAAGUAUCUCUUCCUUUUCUAUUUCCUAGUAUAGACUGUAUAAAAUUGGUGUUAAUUCUUCCUUAACCAUUUGAUAGAAUUCUCUAGUGAAACUAUGUGGGCCUGAGAUUUCUUUUUUGGGAGUUUUAAAAUUACAAAUUCAAUUUUUCUAAUCACUAAGGGGCUACUCAAAUUAUCUAUGUCAUGCUGAGUAAAUUGUGGUAGAUUGUGUUUGAGAAAAUAAUCCAUUCUGGGCCGGGUGUGGUGACUCACGCCUGUAAUCCUAGCACUUUGGGGGGCCAAGGCAGGAAAAUCCCUUGAGCCCAGGAGUUCAAGACCAGCCUGGACAACAUAGCUCCUAUUUCAUUCCUGAUAUUGGUAAUUUUCAUUUUCUCCCUUUUUAUCUGUGUCAGUUUUUAAAAAGGUUUGUCAAUUUCAUUGAUCUUGUUAAAGAACGAUUUUUUUUUAUCUUUUAAAAAAACCAGGCUGGAUGCCUUGGCUCACGCCUGUAAUCCCAGCACUUUGGGAGGCCGAGGCAAGCAGAUAGUCAGGAGUUCAAGACCAGCCUGGCCAACAUGGCAAAACCCCAUCUCUACAAAAAUAGAAAAAUUAGCUGGCCAUGGUGGCACAUACCUGUAGUCCCAGCUAUUUGGGAGGCUAAGGCAGGAGAAUCGCUUGAACCUGGGAGGUGGAAGUUGCAGUGAGCCAAGAUCAUGCCACUGCACUCCAGCCUGGGUGAUAGAGUGAAACUCUGUCUCAAAAAAACAAAAACAAACAAAAAACCAAUUCUGAUUUUUCUCUAUUAUUGUUUCCAAUUUCAUUGAUUUCUGCUCUUUAUUUCUUUUUCUAUAUUCUUGGAGUGACAGCUUAGAUUAUUGAGACCUAUACUGUUUUCUAAUGGAUGCACUUAGUGCUAUAAAGUUCCCUCUCAGUACUGCUAUUGCUUCUGUCUCAUAAAUUUUGGUAUGUUGUAUUUUCAUUUUUGUUUAAUUCAGUGUGUUUCUUUAUUUCCUUUGAGACUUUCUCUUUGACCCAAUAGAUUAUUUAGAAAAGUGUGGUUUGAUUUCCAAGGAUUUGGAUACUUUUCCGUUACCUUUCUGUUACUGAUUUUUUUCUUUUUUUAAUUAGUUAAUUAAUUUUUGAGACAGGGUCUUGCUCUGUCACCCAGGUUGGAGUGCAGUGGCACAAUCACAGUUGACUGCAGCCUUGACCUCCCAGGCUCAAGCAAUCCUCCCACCUCAGCCCCCUGAGUAGCUGGGACUACAGGCACAUGCCAUCACACCUGGCUGAGUUUUUAAUUUUUGUAGAGACGGGGGUCCCCCUGUGUUACCCAGGAUCAUUUUGAACUCCUGGCCUCAAGGAAUCCUCCCACCUUGGCCUCUCAAAGUGCUAGGAUUACAGGCAAGAGCCACCAUGCCCGGUCUCUGUUACUGAUUUCUAAUUUGAUUCUAUUGUGGUUAGAAAAUAUAUUCUGUAUAAUUUUGGUUGUUUUGUUUUUGUUUUUGUUUUUUUUUUUUUUGAGACAGAGUCUCGCUUUGUUGGCCAGGCUGGAGUGCAGUGAUGCUAUCUCAGCUCACUGCAACCUCCGCCUACCAGGUUCGGGUUCAAGUGAUUCUCCUUCCUCAGCCUCCCACGUAACUGGGAUUACAGGUGCCCACCACCACACCUGGCUAAUUUUUGUAUAUUUAGUAGAGAUGGGGUUUGGCCAGGCUGACCAGGCUGGUCUCAAAUUCCUGACCUCAUGUGAUCCGUCUGUCUUGGCCUCCCAAAGUGCUGGGAUUACAGGUGUGAGCCACUGCUCCCAGGCUAAUUUCAAUUUAAAAAAAUUUUUCAAAUUUUUCAGAUUUUUAUGGCUCAGGAUAUACUCUAUCUUGAUAUAUAUUUUCCAUAAGCACUUUAAAAGAAUGUGUAUUCUUAUUAGGUAGAGUGUUCUGUAAGUGUCAACUAGAUUUUGUCAGUUAGUGGUGUUGAGUUCACCUAUAUCCUUGCUGGUUUUCUGUCUAGUUCUAUCAAAAUUGUUGAAAGAAGAAUAUUGAAGUCUCUGGCUAUGACUGUGAAUCAUCUGUUUCUCUCCUUUAAGUUCUAUGAGUUUUUCUUCACAUAUUUUGCAAUUUCAUUGUUUGGUCUAUAUACAUUUAGGACUAUUAUGUCUUACUGGCAGAUUGACCCUUUUAUCAUUAUCUCCCUAUCUCUGAUAAUUGUCUUUGCUCUGAAGUCUACUUUAUCUGAUAUUAACAUAGCCACUCCUGCUUUCCUUUGAUUCAUGUUUACUGAUAUAACUUUUUUCCAUUCCUUUGUUUUUAGCCCUCUUAUAUAUUUGAAGUGAGUUUCUCAUAGACAACAUAUAGUUGAAUUGUUUUUUAAUUCUCUAUGCCAGUCUGGCAAUUCACUCUACCACCAGUAAAUAUUGGUGUAUUUAGGCUUAUAUGUUUAAUGUAAUUAUUAAUAUGGUCAAGUUUCAUUCUGCUAUUUUAUUUUUUGUUUUCUCUUUAUUCUUUCUGUUUCUCAUUGCUCUUUUCUUUUUCCUGAUGCUUUCUCUUUCCUGCAUUUUUUAGAAUUCCAUUUUGAUUUACCUAUAGUGUGUUUUAUUAUAUCUCUUUGUAUAGCCUUUUUUUAGUCAUGGCUCUAGAUAUAGAUACAGAUAUAUGGUAUCACACUCUACUGGUGUUAUCAUUUUACCAGUUCAAGUGUGGAAGCCUUACCUUCCUUUAUGUUUCUUACCAUCCUCCUGUUAUAAUCAUUUAAAAUAUUUCCUUUAAUACAUUUAGAACAACAUCAGUCAGUGUUAUAUUUUUGCUUCAAUUGUAAAACAUAAUUUAUAAAACUCAAGAGGAGAAGGAAAGUUUAUUAUAUUUACCCACUUUUGUUUAUUAUGUUCUUUCUUCCUUCUUUCAUCAUUCCCUUUCGGUUUAGAAAGUUUCCUUUGCCAUUUUUUUAGGGUAGGUCUACUGGUAACAGAUUAUCUUAGUUUUUCUUCAUCUGAGAAUGUCUUGAUUUCCCCUUCAGCCCUGAAGGAUGUUUUCACUGGGUGUAAAACUCUGGAUUGACAGUUAUUUUCUUUCAGCACUUGGAAAAUAUUGUGCCACUUCCUUCUGACCUCUAUGAUUCCUAAUGCAAAAUCUGCUGUCAUUCUAAUUGUUUUCCUCCUACAGUUAAGGUGUCAUCUUUUUCUGGCUGAUUUCUAAAACUUUUUUGUCGUUUUUUGUUUUCAGAAAUUUAAUUAUGAUGUAUCUUCCAGUACUUUUUCAGCCCUGCCCUUUCUAUUUUCUUUCUGGAUUUUGAUGACCCAAUGCUAGAUUUUUUUUUUUUUUUUUUUUGGUCCCUUAGUUCCCUGCAGCUCUGUUUAUUUUUUUUUCAGUCUAUUUUAUCACUGUUGCUCAGACUGGGCAAUUUCUAUUGUUCUACUUUUCAAUUCAUUAAUUCUUUUUUCCGUACCCUCUAUUCUGCUGUUGAACCCAUCUAUUUUGCUUCAGUUACUGUAUUUUUAAGUUCUAAAAUUUCCAUUUGGUUCUCUUUAUAUCUUGUUUCUUUGCUGAGACUCUUUUUUUUUUUUUUUUGAUGAGGCUUUGUAUUUUUUAAUUUGAUUUAAGCAUGUUUUUACCUUUUUUAUUUUUUUAUAUUUUCAUUCUUUUUAUUGUUUUGUUGUUGUUGUUUUAACUAUGUUUUUAAUUGCUCAUUGAAGCAUUUUUAUCUUGGCUGCUUUAAAAUCCUUGUCAGAUAAUUCUGACAUCUGUAUCAUCUCGGUGUUGUCACCUAUUGUCCUUAUUUAAAUUCAGUUUGAGAUCUUCCUGGUUCUUGGUAUAAUAAGUGAUUUUCAACUGAAAUCUGGGUAUUUUCACAUUGUUAUGAGACUCUGAAUCUUAGUUAAGCCUUCUCUUUUUGCUGGGGCUUUUUUUUUUUUUUAACAGAGUGUUGCUCUGUCACCUAGGCUGGAGUGCAGUGGUGCAAUCUCAGAUCACUGCAACCUCCGCCUCCUGGGUUCAAAUGAUUCUCAUGCCUCAGCCUCCUGAGUAGCUGGGAUUACAGGUGCGCAUCACCAUGCCCAGUUAAUUUUUGUAUUUUUAGUAGAGAUGGGGUUUCACCAUGUUGGCCAGGCUGGUCUUGAACUCCUGAUCCCAGGUCAAGACCAGCCUGGUCAAUAUGGCAAAACCCCACCUUGGCCUCCCAAAGUGCUGGGAUUACAGGAGUGAACCACUGCACCCGGCCAUUUGGAAAAAUUUUUUUGUAGAGACAAUUGCUAUGUUGCUGAGGCUGCUCUCAAACUCCUAGGCUUGAACAAUCCUUCCACCUUGGCCUUCCAAAGUGCUGGGAUUACAGGCAUGAACCACCUUGCCCAGCCAAGAGAUUAUUUUUAAAUUUUUAUUUCUCUUUGAGACAGGGUCUCACUUUGUUGCCCAGGCUGGAGUGCUGUGGUGCCAUUUCAGCUCACUGCGACCUCCACCUCCCAGGUUCAAGCAAUCCUCCUGCCUCAGCCUCUGGAGUAGCUGGGACUACAGGUAUGCCCCACCACUCCUGGCUAAAUUUUUUUUUUUUUGGAGAUGGGGUUCACCAUGUUGGCCAGGCUGGUCUUGAACUCCUGACCUCAGGUGAUCUGCCUGCCUCGAGCUCCCAAAAUGCUGGGAUUACAGGUGUGAGCCACCGGACUUAGUGAGAUUAAUUUUUUAAGUUAAAUUACAUCAAAUUAAUUUGUCAUUUUCCACAGGAAAUUUUCAGUGCAGCCCUAUGCACACCUGACGCUCUCAAUUUAGUUGUGACAAUAGAUAAAUCCUGCAACAAAUCUGACAUCCCUUGACCAAAAGCAAUUCUAAUACAGCAUUGUAGACCAGUUCAUAUUGUUCCUGAAGAGCAUCACAACCCAGAACAAAUGAAAACAAAAACAAAAAAAUUGGUGAACGACAGGACCAGAUUUUAGGAAUAUGAACACCAAUCAAAUCCUAAUAUAGCAGACCCAAAAGGACGAUCGGCAUGUUAUUAAACUUACUAACAAUGCCUUAUGCUUACGUAGUUCACUUCAGAUUUCAAAGCACUUUUAUGCUGCUGAAAAUAGCUAAAUAUUUGAUACACCUCUAACUAAUGUACAGGAAUCUUAUGACUUGUUUCUUUUAUGUUCUAAACCUAGUUUCUUAUCUUUCUCUCCACCAUCAUUUCUCUAAUUCUGUUUCCCUUGCUCACAUUAAAAAAAAAAAUAUUUCAUUCUAGAUGGAUUUUUUGUAAGCAACCUUCAUCUUUUCUGGAAAAAGAGAUAGUGGUUGGUAUAUAGAUAGAUAACUUCAAUGUCUAUGCUUUAAUUUGGUCCUCACAAUUGCUCUAUAAAGUAGAUAAGCUAUUUAUACCUAUUUACAAACAGUUUAUCCCAGGUCAUUCAGAAGGAAUUUCCAGGGCUUGGCUUAGAAACUUAAUUUCCACACUCUUAGUUCAGUGCAUUUAGAUAAAGUUGCUAAAAUUUUGUCCUAAUAAAGAUACCAAAAAAAAGUAAACCACUAAAUAAGGUUUUGAAAUUUGUGGUUACAAAAGGAUUUCACCAUAGAGAAAUGAGACCUCUAUUAUUACAAGGUUUAUGAGUUAUUACUACUCUGUUUUUGCCUGUACUUUCUCAAGCACUUAAUUUUGAACCUACUUUUUAUCUGAAAGGGCCUAAUCAGGGUUUUACCUGAAAGGGCCUAUUCAGGGUUUUCCCUGACACUUUACACAUUUCUGUACAAAUAAAGAACAAUUUUUUUUCAAAGAUAAUUUUAGCAGGAAACAAUGCAGAGUCUAUAUCAUUCAACACAGCCAUUAGUAUGCUCUUUAUUUAUUUAUUUAUUUAUUUUUUUUUUUGAGACACGGUCUCACCGUGUUGCCCAGGCUGGAGUGCAGUGAUGCAAUCUCGGCUUACUGCAGCCUCGACCUCCCAGGCUCAAGUGAUGCUCCCACCUCAGUCUCCCAAGUAAGUCGGGACUGCAGGCACCUGCCACUACACCCUGAUAAUUUUUGUAUUUUUUGUAGAGACAGGGUCUCACUAUGUUGCCCAGGCUGGUUUUGAACUCCUGAGCUCAAGUGAUCCACCUGCCUCAGCCUCCCAAAGUGCGGAGAUUAUAGGGGUGAGCCACCACAUCUGGCUAAUUUCUUUAAGAAAGAAAAAUCAGGGCUGGGCAUGGUGGCUCACGCCUGUAAUCCCAGCACUUUGGGAGGCCGAGGCAGGCAGAUCACGAAAUCAGGAGUUCAAGACCAGCCUGGCCAGCAUGGUGAAACCCCAUCUCCACUAAAAAUACAAAAAAAAUUAGCUGGGCAUGGUGAUGCGUGCCUGGAGUCCCACCUACUCGGGAGGCUGAGGCAGAAGACUUGCUUGAACCCGGCAGGCAGAAGUUGCAGUGAGCCAAGAUCGCACCAUUGCACUCCAGCCUGAGUGACAGUGUGAAACUCCAUCUCAAAAGAAGGAAGGAAGGAAGGAAGGAAGGAAGGAAGGAAGGAAGGAAGGAAGGAAGGAAGGAAGGAAGGAAGGAAGGAAAGAAAGGAAGAAAAAGAAAAAUCAGACAGGAAGCUCUCAUCUGGUUACAGUGCCAUUUCCUGGUUACAGUAGUGUCAGAAAAAACAGCUACAACUGUCAAGUUCAGUUAGUUGUUUGAUAAUGCCAAAAUGUGAAGGCUUUUUCAGCGUCUUCCAACUCUUAAAAGUAGGCCUGAAAUGAAAUUCGUUUUUGAAAUGGGGUAUAGUUUUAUUAAAUUAGUAUUGCUAUUUAUAUAACUAGGUUCCAUACUUCUGGAAUCUUUAUGCAUUUACAUGGAUCAGCCUUCUUUCAAGUCUGACAGCAUUAAACCAGCUAAUGCUUUCAUUUCACAUAAGCUUUCUCCCUCACAGGUUGAAUAUAGAAAACACCUACACUCAGCACACAUGAAAGUUAUUUUUUUCCACCAGCUAUUAGUGGAAAAUCUGUGCAGGCCAAACAGUUUUAUAUUAUAAUAGCUCUUUAUUUUAUCCCUUUAAUUCACAACUUCUAGACUAAAUAUCUGAAUUGCCAUUGUCAGUUGUUUUAUCUCUAAAACUAUUUGCAUCUUCAUUUGUAAGUGUUUUAAACACUUUAAGGUCUUGCUAUUUAAGUAGUUAAAAGUAGUUCUAACAAAUUACACAAAAGUGCCUGUUAAUAAACAUCAAUACACGUUUCAUGAAUGAAUGGGUCAAUUCUAAAUUCUAUAUUAAAAAUGGAGACCACUUAGAAAACUAAAACUAUUGGGUAAAACUAUUCGUGUAGAAAUAUGGGUGAAAUUAAUAUUGUAGGCAGUGAGAGAUUUGGGCUAGGAGAAGGGAAGAGCAUUCCUAAUGGAGUGAACAAGUAUGGGUAUUCUGGGGUAGGUUAAAAGAUUGUGAUACAUAAAUAGAGUGUGAUUGUAAUUUUUUUUUUUUUUGAGACAGAGUCUCACUCUGUUACCCAGGCUGGAGUGCAGUCGUGUGAUCUCGGCCCUCUGCAACCUCCACCUCGCAGGCUCAAGCAAUUCUCCCGCCUCAGCCUCCCAAGUAGCUGGGAUUAGCAGGUGCCUGCCACCAUAUCCAGCUAAUUUUUUUAUUUUUAGUAGAGACAGGGUUUCAGCAUAUUGGUCAGGCUGGUCUCAAACUCCUGACCUCAGGUGAUCCACCCACCUUGGCCUCCCAAAGUGCUGGGAUUACAGGUGUCAGCCACCGCGCCCGGCCCAAUUAUGUUUUUUCUUUUUUAAGUAUGCAUGCAAUAAGAAUCAGGAGAAACUAUAGAAAAAUAGUAAUAGUGGCUAUCUGUAGGUAAUAGGAAUAUGGUUUUUAUUUUUAUUUUUCAGUGUUUCCUAAAACGAGCACAUAGACUGAAUUCUCCAUAUUCUGUUACCACAUCCUGGGUAGAAAUUACAAAUCCCUGAUUUUCUAUGCUUUCAGAGAUGAAUUUUAUCACUACAAAAUUUCAAAUUAACAUGACCUAGCUAUUUCAAGUCCACAAGUCAGUUUGUUGAAUACUUUUACAACAUCCUUUGUAAGGAAGUAAGUAAUAUUACAUUGGUAUCUUAAUAUUUUCUGAACAGACAGUAAAAUAAGGAAUGAAAGGAAUUUGACCCAGGACAAGGGAUACAGGAAAAAUAUUGGGAUAUUCAGAGUUAGAGAAAAUGGCAAUGGACUCUAGAGCACGUAAUGGUAAAUUGGUGUUAUAUCUGAGCAGUCAGCUGUUUUUGGAUGCCUCACCAUUAAACAGAUGGAGCAAGACUCAGACACAUGUUCUGAUCCAUUCACUAUAGUUCAUACCUGCGUUUGAACUAAUGAAGGCCUCUGUGUCCGCAUUUCCCGGAUCAAACUGAAAACACUGAAGUUCUCAGGAAUUAUCUAUCAAAUUAAAGGGGAAAAUAUUCCUUUCAAUAUUUUGUUAAUAAAUUAUUGCUACUUUUUCAUAGUCUUGUACUUCCAUGGCAUCUGCUCUUCUAACAUGGGGUAAUAUCAGAAAAAUGAUGCAUUUUUAAAACAAAUGAGGUUUCUUAUCACUUGCAACAUGAUUUAGAGCCUGGUAUUUUCCCUAGAAAAGACUAAAGAAACUCUUCAGAAUGAUUUCACACGGUAUAACCAAAUGUCUAAAACUAUAGAUAUAACGAGGGACAGGAUUCAGUAGAUGCACAAGUAUGAGAGUUGCAUAAAAUAAAAGAGGUUGGUAGGUAGGUCUAAAGGCCAUAUUUUAAACUUCCCAUUUCCUAUUAGACAUUAAAAAAUGAUUUAUAGAUUGGAACGCAAAGUAUGAUUGCAGUAAGUUGAGUCCAUCUAUUAAAGCAUCUUUGGAUAAAGGAAGGGUAACUAUAUAAUUUAGGACAGUGGUCCUCAAACUUCAUCAUGCAUCACAAUCACCUGGACAGCUUGCUGGGCCCCCAUCUCUAGAGACAUGAUUCAAUUCAAUGGGGUGGGGCCCAGUAAUUUGCCUUCACCUUAGGUUAGGUGCACCUAACCCCCUUGGGGUUCAACCCCUACACUAUUGGAAUCUCCAAAGAUUGGAAAACAAACAUUAAAGGACAUAUAAAUUACAGACUUCCUGGGAGUCUGACAAAGUAGAAAUAGAAAUAUUUGACCUAUUUUCAGUAUUUCACAAGAACUAACAGAAAUCAUAUGUCUACUAAAACAGCUGCACAAGCUAAGUGAAAUAUCUAGUUUCCUUGGGUUUUGAUUUUUGCUUUUUGUUUUGUUUUGUUUUUGAAACGGACUUUCACUCUUGCUGCCCAGGCUGGAGUGCAACAGCGCGAUCUCGGCUCACUGCAGCCUCUGUCUCCCGGGUUCAAGCGAUUCUCCUGCCUCAGCCUCCUGAGUAGCUGGGAUAACAGGCAUGUGCCACCAGGCCCGGCUAAUUUUGUAUUUUUAGUUGAGACAGGGUUUCUCCAUGUUGGUCAGGCUGGUCUUGAACUCCCGACCUCAGGUGAUCUGCCCACCUCAGCCUCCCAAAGUGCUGAGAUUACAGGCAUGAGCCACUGCAACCAGCCAAGUUUGCUUGGUUUUGAUUAGAAUUGUCAACUCAGAAUGGCAACAGUAGAACAGUGAUAUCCAGUAAAAUAUAAUGUGAGCCACAUAUGUGAUUUUAAAUUUUCUUUUUCUUUCUUUUUUUUUUUUUUUUUUGAGGACUUUCACUUUUGUUGCCCAAGCUGGAGUACAAUGGCAUGAUCUUGGCUCACUGCAACCUCCACCUCCCAGGUUCAAGUGAUUCUCCUGUCUCAGCCUCCCGAGUAGCUGGUAUUACAGGCAUGCGCCACCACACCUGGCUAAUUUUGUAUUUUUAGUAGAGACAGGGUUUCACCAUGUUGGUCAGGCUGGUCUCGAACUCCCAACUUUAGGUGAUCAGCCUGCCUCGGCCUCCCAAAGUGCUGGGAUUACCGUGUGAGCCACCAUGCCCGGCCAAAAAUUUCUUUCUUUUCCUUUAUGUAUUUUAUUUUUAUUUUUAUUUUUUUGAGACGGAGUCUCUCUCUGUCACCCAGGCUGGAGUACAGUGGCUCAAUCUCAGCUCACUGCAACCUCCGCCUCCCGGGUUCAAGCAAUUCUCCUGCCUCAGCCUCCUGAGUAGCUGGGAUUACAGGCACAUGCCACCAUGCCUGGCUAAUUUUUUUUUGCUUUUUUUUUUUUUUUUUUUUUUUUGAGACAGAGUCUCGCUCUGUCACCUAAGCUGGAGUGCAGUGGCGCGAUCUUGGCUCACUGCAAGCUCCACCUCCUCAGUUCAAGCCAUUCUCCCGCCUCAGCCUCCUGAGUAGUGGGGACUACAGGCGUCCACCACCAUGCCCGGCUAAUUUUUUUGUAUUUUUAGUAGAGACAGGGUUUCACCAUGUUAGCCAAGAUGGUCUCGAUCUCCUGACCUCGUGAUCCACCUCCCUCGGCCUCCCAAAGUGCUGGGAUUACAGGCGUGAGCCACUGUGCCCGGCCUAAAUUUUCAAAUAGACACAUUCAAAACCGAAAAGAGGUGAAAUUAAUUUUAAUAACAUAUCUUAGCCCAAUAUAUAUUGCAUUUCUAACAAGUUCUCAGGUGAUGCUGAUGCUUCUUGUCUGGGGACCACCCUUUAAGACCCACCUACCUGGGAACUAAUUUAAUCGUCUGACAGAGUGGGUCUACAAGUACAUUUUCUAGAAAAGAUGAAUCAUGAAGAUAGAUGUUUUGAAAAACCAAACAAUUACUAAGUAUGAAAGCAGUAGACUAAGCAAAUGGGAAGUGCCUGCUGAGAGAAACUCACCCCAUCUUUUAGCAACAUCCAUGUAUAAUCAAUAGCACAAAUAACACCAGUCCUUCCACAGCCAGCACUGAAAUGAAAGAUCACAGUAGCAUGUAUGCAUGUAUACCUAGAGAGAAUGGACCAUUGACAGUAGCUGGAAAAUUUCACCAGCAGAUUUGAGGAAGAAGAUACCUGGGGACAAUUAAACUUUCCAAACCCCACCAUUUCCCAGAGCCCAUUUGUCAUGCAAGAGGUCCUAGGCAACAUCUCAGAGCAAGAGUCUCUAGAACUGUACUACUCACAAGUAACUUAUCAGAAAAACAUGAAUUUAAUGCUUAGGUUGAAUUUAUUAUCGUUUGUUUUUGCUAUUAACCUUUUCCCCUUUCAAUUACACAGUCCUGGCCAGACUCUGACAUUUGGUUCAUUUUGGGUAGAAGGUUUAUAUAUAGUGUCAUACCUGCAGUGAAUGCAUAUGGGAACACUGUCAUCCUCUUGGUAACAACGUACAUCCCAGAUGAGCUCAAGAAUAGGGUCUAUAGAUGAAGGUACAUCAUGGUCUGGCCAAUUCUUGUAAUGAAACUGGUAGAUAGUUCGAGUUUCCUAUAAAAAGUAGCCAGAUGGGAGGGGAAGAGGGGCAAGGGCUGAAAAACCACCUAUUGGGUAUUAUGCUCACUACCUGGGUGAUGGGAUUAUUCAGUGGCAUGCAUGCAACAAACCUGCACAUUUACGCCCUUGUGUCUUAUAUUCAUAAGAUUAAAGUUGAGGCUGGGUGUGGUGGCUUACGCCUGUAAUCCUAGCACUUUGGGAGGCCGAAGCAGGCAGAUUACUUGAGGUCAGGAGUUCAAGACCAACCUGGCCAACAUGGGGAAACCCUGUCUCUACUAAAAAUACAAAAGUUAGCCAGGCAAGGUGGUGAGCACCUGUAGUCCCAGCUACUGGGGAGGCCACGGCACAAGAGUUGCUUGGACCCAGGAGGCUCAGGUUGCAGUAAGCCAAGAUUGCACCACUGCACACUCCACACUCCAGACUGGGUGACAGAGCGAGACUCUGUCUCAAAAAAAAAAAAAAAAAAAAAAAAGUUGAAAUUAUUUUAAAAAUAGCCAGGAUAAUAAGACAACUUGUGGUUAGAACUCCACCUCAUUAUACCAAGACAACAGUCCGGCAUACUAAGUUGUAUCUAUAUCCUUUUUGAAAUUUAUUCCGGUUUCUUCUCUAUAGAUCUCAGGUGACCAGAUGCUUUCUGAAAACCAUUAAAAGUGAUUUCAGGUCACUUACUAUUGGUUUGUCCCCAUCUGCCCCAUUCACAAGAGGAAAUAGCUAGAUAUGAAAAUAGUUCAAACCAGUGUUUCCCAACUGGUAUGCCUCCAAUGUGUCACAAUCAUGCUGAUAUAUUAAAUCUUUUUGCCUUAGAGAAGCUGGGCAGGGCCUAGGGCAGCCUAAGCUCUCAAACUGGUCCCCAGUCUCUAUGCACUGUUCAGCUUCUGUUCACCCUACAAAUAUUAUCAUUUUAUAUGUGUGCCAUGGUAUAGAAUAGAUUGAAGACAUAUUAUAACAAUGGUCUCUUCUUUUUUUCUUCUUCUUUGAGACACAGUCUUGCUCUGUCACCCAGGCUGCAGUACAGUGGCACCAUCUCGGUUCACUGCAACCUCCACCUCCAGGGCUUAAAUGAUUUCUCCUGCCUAAGCCUCUUGACUAGCUGGAACCACAGGCAUGCACCACCACGCCCAGCUAAUUUUUUGUGUGUUUUUAGUAGAGACAGGUUUUUGCCAUGUCGGCCAGGCUCAAAGUUCUCUUGAAUAUGAAGACUCAUUCAUGACAUCAAAGACCCUACCACUUCCCAUUGUCUUAUGCCCAGCCUGAGCUACACACAUCUAUAUUUACUUGCCUGAUCUCUAUAGGCUUUUGAGUUUAUCAUUCUUAUUUUAUACUUACACUAUUGAACUUAACUUUUAGAGUCCUGAUUAUAUAAUCAGAUUUCCUUUUUUCAGCUUCCUAAAAAGAAAAAGAAGACUCAAGUAUUAGUGAUUGCAAAGACAAGCUCUCUAUAAGGUAGACCCUGGAGGCUUUACUCAGACAUGAGAACAGACAUUACACUUACACAGGAUACAGAGAAAGGGCCAAAUUCCAGCUGCAUCUCUCCUGGCUCAGCCCAGUAGCGCUCACACUUUUUCUGUUGCACAAAGCAGAAUACAGUGAUUUCCCUCCAUAUAUUCUAGUCUUUUCCACUCUCUCAUUUGGAAGCAAAUUCAGCUCUAUGUCCUUCACCUUAGGUUAGGUGCGUCUAACCCCUUUGGGCUUCAACCCCUACAUUAUUGGAAUCUCCAAAGAUGGGAAAACAAACAUUAAAGGAUAUAUAAAUUACAGACUUCCUGGGAGUCUGAAAAAGUAGAAAUAGAAAUCUUUGACCUAUUUUUAGUAUUUCACAAGAACUAACAGAAAUCAUAUGUCUACUAAAACAGCUGCACAAGCUAAGUGAAAUACCUAGUUCCCUUGCUUUUGAUUAGAAUUGUCAACUCAGAAUGGCAACAGUAGAACAGUGAUAUCCAGUAAAAAUAUAAUGUGAACCACAAAUGUAAUUUUAAAUUUUCAAACAGACAUAUUAAAAAAUGAAAAGAGGUGAAAUUAAUUUUAAUAACAUAUCUUAGCCCAAUAUAUCAAAACAUUCUGACAUGUAACCAAUAUAAAAUAAUUAUCAGAUAUUUGGCAUUUUUUACUAAGUCUUCAAAAUCCAGUGUAUAUUUUAUAUUUAUAGCUAAUCUCAAUUAGGAUGCCAAAUUUUGGAAAUAUUUUAUUUCCAUUUAGAUUUAAUAAAACUUACAUUUGAAAAAUUUUCACAUACUCAAACAGCUUUCUGAUAACUGAAUUGCAUGUCAGUUUUUAAGUUUAAAUCAAUUAAAAUAAUUGAGUUCCCCAGUCACAUUAGCCAUAUUUUAAAUGCUCAAUAGCUGUAUGUGGCUGGUGGAUGCAAUAUUGGACGGCACAGGAUUAAAAGCUCUGGCUGGCAGUUAAAGAUAUCUAAUUAAUAGAAAUGGGCAAGUGAUUUGUUAAUCUUAAAAGCAUACCUUGUUUUUAACUGUAAAACAUAGGGUCUACUGAGAAAACAAACAAAUAGGAUUCUUAGGAGAAAAAAAAAAUCCUCUGAGAAUCACGUGGCAUUCCCAAACUGAAAACUAUGAAGAUGACAUAAGUUUUAUCUAGGUACACUCAGGUAAGUUCUGCUGCCAAUUUCCCUCUCCUUUUUCUUCUUUCCUUUGUUUUAAGGUCAGCAGGUACUAGAAAGUAACUUACCUUUCCCAUUUCAUACUCCAUGCAUGCCAUAACAAUGAUCUGGGGGAUGAAAUAGAUAGAAACUUAAACAUUCAUAUAUAGUUAGAAAGAGCAGUUAAUACAUGGAUCCCAGACUCAGAAAGUAUUAACCGUUCUUUUUUCUGUUUUGUCGUUUUUUUUUAACCAAAAAAUAAAUCCUGGUGACUUAUAAAAUAUUGCUGCUACUCUUCCUUCAUUCUGACAAUACUUCCCCUUUCUCUGUUCAGACCAGUAAUCUUGUUACCAAAUGAGCCUGUCAAGGUAAGAACUUUCUCAUUUUUAAAUUUAUUUUUAUUAUUUUUUAAAACUUAUUUAUUUUUGAGACAGGGUCUCAUUCUGUCACCCAGGCUGGAGUGCUGUGGCACAAUCUCAGCUUACUGCAGUCUCAACCUCAUGGGCUCAAGCGAUUCUCCCAUAUCAGCUUCCCCAGUAGCUGGGACUACAGGCACACACCACCACUCCCAGCUAAUUUUUGUAUUUUUUGUAGAGACAGGGUUUUGCAAUGUUGCCCAGGCUGGUCUAGAACCCCUAGGCUCAAGCUAUCCACCCCUCUUGGCCUCCCAGAGUACACCUGGCUGAGAACUUUCAUUUCCUUGGACAAGAAUGGCAUUGUGAUUCUGACUAAAAGAUGCCUGAACCCUGAAGUUCCACUGACCAAUUUUUUAAAAGCACUGUUUUUAAUAAAGUAGAGAAUAAAGUAACAAAAGCAACACCAUACUUACAAGGACACUAUAUUCCCAAAUCAUCCUCCAGAAGUCCAGGAGGGUUGUAGAUAAAGGACCCUGGGUGGCAAUAUAAGCCUUGGGUCCAUAAACUCCCUAAAGGGGAACAGAAAUUACACGGGGUGACUACAAAUAAUACCCUGUUCUCACCUAGUCCUCCGCUUCCUUUUUUUUUUUUUUUUGAGAUGGUCUCACUGUGUUACCCAGGCUGGAGUGCAGUGGCAUAAUCACAGCUCACUGCAGCCUUGACCUCCUGGCUUCAGGCAAUCCCCUUUCCUCAGCCUCUCCAGUAGCUGGGACUACAAGCGCAUGCCACCACACCUGGCUAAUUUUUUAACUUUUUGUUGAGAUGGGGUCUCAUAUGUUGCCCAGGCUGGUCUGAAAUUCUUGCGUUCAAGUGAUCUUUCCGCCUCAGCCUCCCAAAGUGCUGGGAUUACAGGCAUGAGCCACUGAGUCCAGCCAGCCCUCCCCUUUUUUUGGGUAUCUAGAGAAAUAUGGAAUGCUUUUAUUUUCUUUCACUGUACCUUAAUGAAGUUGGCAUUGAUGUAGCUGGAAUCCUCAUCAGAGGUUAUCAGGGAUAGUUCUACCCGGCUAUAAUCAUCUAUAAUACAAAAGACAGACAUAGUACAAUUAAGAGGGCUUAGUCAGCAGAUUUAAAUCAGGGCCUAACACUGUGAAUAGUGUAUGCUCAUGAGUGAACAAGUGAGUGAAUGAAUGAAUGAAUGAAUGAAUAUUCUUUUGCAGUCAUAAAUAGUACAAACUAAGUUGUCAAUGCCAUGUUCCAAGAUCAGGAUCAGUAAGCAAUGGGUACAAAGAGAUAGUAAUGAUUGAAUUUGGGAGAAAGUAUGAGUUUAUAGAGAGAAAUGGAACUUACAGGGCAAAAUAUCCUUAUAUCUGUUUUUCUUGAUAUUCUUGGGCUUCUCAGCCACAGUUGUAGGAUAGGUUUUGUCUGCCUUGUACUUGGUAGAUUGCCUUUUCAGCUUCUGUAAUAAGAUUCCAAGAAAAAUUAAUCUUCCUAGAGAAAUGAGGUAAGAAGCUAUCUCUAAAGAGCUUUCCUUUUCCACUGGCAAAACAUUCUACCUCAACCCUUUUAUUAUCUUCUGGUUCUGACUCCGUUCAGGACAGAGCUGCAGAGCAUAAGGAGACCUGAGUUCAGUGACAUUUGGGGAAGUGAAAAGAUCACACUUACUGCAGCUGAGCCAUAGAUAGCGUGAACUUAAAAGUGAAACUUGUGAAUAUUUUAAGAACCAAAUAUCUUCUGGAAGCAAGCUAUAUGCUCCACCCAAUGGGCAGAUAUUAAAAGCUUAAUUUACUUUCUUUAUAACUGCUUUUUAGUUAAAUGGUCAACUGGAAAAUAAUUAAGUUCUAUUAGUCUUUUUACUUCAGAUCGCUUUUUUUUCUAAGUGGAAGUGGAGCUUAAGCUGAAUAAAAUUUCUCUAUAUCUAGCAAAAUUUCAAAGAUUUCAGUUCCAAAAGCAGUCACUUUUUUUUUUUUUUUUUUUUGAGAUAAAGUUUCACUCUGUCACCCAGGCUGGAGUGCAGUGGCUUGACCACAGCUCAAUGCAGCCUCAACUUUCUGGGCUCAGGUGAUUCUUCCACCUCAGCCUCACCUCCCACCUCAGCCUUACCUCCUGAAAGCUGGGACCACAGGCACAAGCAUCACACCUGGAUAGUUCUCAUAUUUUCAGUAGAGAAGGGAUUUCACCAUGUUGCCCAGGCUGGUCUCAAACUCCUGGGCUCAAGCAAUGCACCUUCCUUGGCCUCACAUAACUUUUAUUACUGUAGAUUAUCAUAAUUGUUCUAUUGUAUUACUAGCUAUUAUUGCUAAUCUCUUAUUGUGCCUAAUUUAUAAAUUGACCUUAAUUAUAGAUAUGUAUGUAUAGGUAAAAACAACAUAGUGUACGUAAGAUUUGGUACUAUCUGCAGUUUCAGGCAUCUACUAUAGGUCUUCAAACACAUCCUCCGUAUAUAAAGAGAGCCUACUGUAGUUUGAAUUCCUCUGGAUUUUCAGAACUGGAUUUGAGAGGAGAGAUACUGAACUGAUAUCUUUUUGUUUGUUUGUUUGUUUAACUUUGAACCCCAAGAAGCUACUGAACUAUCUUUAUAGCAUAUUUUUACUUCAAGAUGGAUAUGGAUACAAGUGGACUAAUUUGGGAAUUUAAGGACACAUGAAAGACUAGGCUGAAUUUCAGCUGAAGUUACACCAAUUUUUCAAAUCUCCCUGCUCUUAAGCAACUUCAGAAUGAUCAUUUUCAGGUUGCUGUUGAUCCCAGGGCUGCUGAAAAGAUCUCAAGUCCCAGAACAGUUUCUUCUAGGAGUCUCCAGAACUAAGCUCAGUGCAUACUCCUUGUUAUACUGUUUUUAUUUAUUUUUGUUUUAUUUUGCUUGUGGAACGCUUUCUAGGGAGAAUGCUAUACACAAAGCCCUUUGCGUAAGAUAUCCUUCAAUUAAUUUGGCAAAAUGUUACAGAUAAAGGUGAUGGGUGUGUGUGUGUAUGUGUGUCCUAUAUUUGUUUAGCUGCCUUCACUGCUACCUUCAACAAUAAGGCAGAAUGGCUUUCAUUUUUCCUACUCCUUUCCUCCCCCUCGAGUAAUCUAGCUGGAUGACAAAAGCAGACACUCUUAGCAAAACAUCACACAGGAAAUGCCUACAGAAUUAUUCAUUUGUAAUGUAUGAAAGAUUUGAUUUUUUUCCCUCAAACAUCUUAUCUUAAGGUCAUACCACUGUGAAGUCUUCCUUUUUCUUUCUGUUUUUUUGUUUGUUUGUUUUUGUUUUUGUUUUUGAGACAAAGUCUUGCUCUAUCGCCCAGGCUGGAGUGCAGUGGCAUGAUCUCGGUUCACUGCAACCUCUGCCACCCAGGUUCAAGCAAUUCUCAUGCCUCAGCUUCCAAAGUAGCUGGGGUUACAGGCGCCCGCCACCAUGCCUGGCCAAUUUUUUGUAUUUUUGGUAGAGACGGGGUUUCACCAUGUUGGCCAGGAUGGUCUGGAACUCCUGACCUCGUGAUCUGCCCGCCUUGGCCUCCCGAAGUGGUGGGAUUACAGUCGUGAGCCACCGCGCCCGGCCAAUUUUUUUUUGUAUUUUUAGUAGAGACAGGGUUUCGCCAUGUUGGCCAGGCUGGUCUUGAACUCCUGACCUCAAGUGAUCCCCCCACCUCGGCCUCCCAAAGUGCUGGGAUUAUAGGCAUGAGCCACCGCGCCCGGCAGGCUUCAUUUUUCUCUUCCACCUCUCUUCCUGCCAGACUCCCGGGCUCCAAUAUCCCAAGAAAGAACAAAUUAGGGCAAAAUUAGGGCAGAAAAAGUAAUAAACUACACCAGAAAAGGAGGAACCCUGAAAGUAGAAAGCAAAAGGGUAUAAAAGAGGAAGCAGGGUCAUGGGGAUGGGUUUAAGUUUGUGAAGAAAAGAUAUGAGAUCUAAAGGGUGAAGGUAUUUCUUUGCCAACUACAAGGUAGGGGUGUGAGUUCCCUAGAGGAAGUACCAUCAAGAGAAGUCAGGGGAAUAGUUGCCAAGAGGAUAAAGUGAAGAGACUGGGUGCGGUGGCUCACACCUGUAAUCCCAGCACUUUGGGAUGCCGAGGCAGGCAGAUCACUAGGUCAGGAGUUCGAGACCAGCCUGGCCAGCAUAGUGAAACCCCGUCUCUACCAAAAAUACAAAAAAAAUUAGCUGGGCAUGGUGGCAGACCCCUGUAAUCCCAGCUAUUCAGGAGGCUAAGGCAAGGAGAAUCGCUUGAACCUGGAAGGCAGAGAUUGCAGUAAGCUGAGAUCACACCACUGCACUCCAGCCUGGGUGACAGUGUGAGACUCCGCCUCAAAAAAAAUAAAAAUAAAAAUAAAAAAGAGAAUAAAGUGAAGAGAGAGCUCAACAUCCCUCGUGGGCCCUGAAAUAGGGUGGAAUGUGUGAGAAACCAGAUUCUGUGUGUGCUUGAUAAGCUAAUAGUAAGUUCAUUUGGUUUGUAGAUGAUACUACCCCUUUCGUUUCAAGAAAGGAGAGGAGAAUGGGGAUCCUGGCCAGUAUAACAAGGAGUAUUAGAUUCUAGAAAUUCGGAUUGAGUCAUUUGCAUGUUAUUCUCACAGACUAGUAAAUAAAAUAAAGUCACUCCCAAAAAAGAACAGAAAGUAAAAGAAAGCACAAGACCACGAUAUCUUUGCCUUGAAGGACUACAUUACUGGAUAGAAGACGUAGCAUUUUAGAUACAUUUUAGGGAGAGGAAAAUUAAACUUGGCCCUCCUGUGCUAGGUGGGAGAACACAAAGUUUGGCUGUCUCGAGAACUCUGCAAGGUAGUUCCUCAGUGCCUUGCAAAUAUAGGUCAGUAUUAUACCAAGCCUCCAUCAGGACAGAAGAAGUACAAGUGGUAAGGAAUGGCAUUAGGAGCUCAGGCUUCUAAAUCCAGUAAUCAGGAGAACUACCAGUAGGAAUGGAGGACAAGACUGAAUUGUACGAGCGUGCAAUGCAAUCAUCUUCAACAAGACUGACAAACUUAUCGAGGUUAGUUUCCAGUGCAAUAGUGGGGCAAAUGGGUAGGUGGGUAGGCAAUAGCUAAAUUGGGGUGAGUAAACCAAGAGGUUCAACUUUAGAUACAUAAAAUGUGAGAAAAUGGCAAGAAAUGUGUGUGUUGUUGGUUGGUUGGUUGGUUUUUGAGACAGAAUCUUGCCUUGUCACCCAGCAGAGAGUUCAGUGGCGCAAUCUUGGCUCACUGCAACCUCUGCCUCCCAGGUUCAAGUGAUCCUCCCACCUCAGCCUCCUGAGUAGCUGGGAUUACAGGCACCUGCCACCAUGCCCAGCUAACUUUUGUAUUUUUAUUAGAGACAGGGUUUUACCACGUUGGCCAGGCUGGUCUUGAACUCUUGACCUCAAGUGAUCCGCCUGCCUCAGCCUCCCAAAGUGUGGGGAUUACAGGCGUGAGCCGCUGCGCUCAGCCAAGAAAUGUGUUUUAAGUGUCCUGUGAGUAAAUGAAAAUGUAGGACUAGAUGGUCCCUAGUGAGAGGCUGGAGAUGGUGUUAGAGAAAUCAGCUUCAGAGGUGAUGUGAUACAUUUAUUCUGGUGGUGGCAUUUUUAAAAAUUGCACCUUA
rnacentral:lncRNA from 10 species